CUUCCUGGAAAACCAUAAAUGUUUACGUUUUGACUAUGAUUGUUACACUUUUUCUGUUAGCCUACAAACGGACCCCGGCCCCCCAUCAGAGAAGGCCCUCACAAGAACAAGUUUGGGGACCCCUGGAUUAAAGCAAUACAUCCAUUCCUACGAAGAGUGUUGGCCGCUGAACAGAGAAAGGUGGAGCGGUGCAGCACUCAUCUCAGUUCGUCCACUUGUCGUUUCUCGUGCAAACGAAAGACUCUUCAGAAAACACAGGAUGGCUUUUGAGCGUUCGAUACUUCCAUGGAACAUGCUAGAAACAUCAUCAGCGCUGAGCUUCAGAAAAAAGCUGCUCAGUUGUUCAGUGGGAUUUUCAAUAAGGCACUCCUGGAUUAUUACUUCAGAUGAAAUCUAAAAACAUUCAUUGCUUCAGUGAGGGACGACAGACCGGUGAAUGCAAGGCAUACAAAUCCAUACAAUGUAAGAAACUGACAGCAAAAACAGGACAAAAAUCAUGACUUUUCCUGUGGCACAAGACUUCCAGUCUGUUGAGAGUAGAAAUCCAAACAGCUGAGCAUCUAUUGCUUCCUAUAUCUGAAUGCACACGUGUUUGUCAUGCGGAAAGGAUGCGAGCCUUUGUUUCCUUCCCGCCUCAGAUACAAUCUUUUGUUCCAGCCGGGGAAACAUUCUUCAGUUUGGCUCAGUGACAAAGCUGCCAAUCAGACUGGCAGGGACACACAAGUACUUCUUUUUAAUUUAUGUAUAUAGUCUUUGUAACCGGGUGGGACGGAGCAGCGCACGCUUGUGCACAGCUUGAGGAUUGAUCUGUGCUUAAGAAAAACAAUCUCCUUAAUGAGCGCAGACGGGCACAGCGUGGGCGACGCUCGAUCGAUGAGCACAGGCGCACGUUCGUCUUUCCAAUCCUAAUCAAUCAGGUGAAAAAAAAAAAAAAAAAAAA